CCUACAGGUGGCAGCAGUGGGGGAUAUUGCACAAUGGGGGGAACCCUGAUGCAGCGACGCCGCGUGGGUGAAGAAGCGCCUCGGCGCGUAAAGCCCUGUCAGCAGGGAAGAAAAUGACGGUACCUGAAGAAGAAGCCCCGGCUAACUACGUGCCAGCAGCCGCGGUAAUACGUAGGGGGCAAGCGUGAUCCGGAUUUACUGGGUGGAAAGGGGGCGCAGACGGCGAAGCAAGCCAGGAGUGAAAGCCCGGGGCCCAACCCCGGGACUGCACUUGGAACUGCGUGGCUGGAGUGCAGGAGGGGCAGGCGGAAUUCCUGGUGUAGCGGUGAAAUGCGUAGAUAUCAGGGGGAACACCGGUGGGGAAGGCGGCCUGCUGGACUGCAACUGACGUUGAGGCCCGAAAGCGUGGGGAGCAAACAGGAUUAGAUACCCGAGUAGUC
rnacentral:rRNA from 1 species